GUAUCAGAUUGCAACGACCAGGAGGCUCUUAUUAGUGGCUGCAAAUGACCGAUAUCCGUCACUUGCAGCUCUGCAUCAGAGACCUGUUGCUGGCCUGAAGAGUUGUAAAAUUACUCCUUCGUAGCCGGGGGAGUCAGAGCGAGGGCGAUUCACGGCUUGGUCAAAAAACUGUCGGCCUGGAACGUAAACGUCGAUCUGCCGACACAGUUCACUUGGUUCAAACGCCUGACCUGGCAUGCUGCCUUGCGUGAAAGGAACAUUUUUUCCGAAAGCAAGCUUCUUCUCCAAAAUUCGAAAUUUCUUUCCAAAAAUGCCGUCGUCCUUGACCUCGAAGCUGAAUGUUGUUAGGAUAGAAAAUUAGCGAAGAUGUAGCCGACCCAUUCUGGCAAGCCGUGUGCCCUCUGGAUAUGCAGUUGUUCGCCAUGGUCAACAAUCUUCUUCUCCUUCGUUCGUACUUUCACUUUCCUGACCACGAAUACAAGCGGUACCCAUGCUCAGGACUCUGAGAAGCUGGAGGGACCCCACAAACCUCAAGCAUUGAGGAUACAACUUUUAACCAAGAACCAGGCAACAUGAUGUGCAUGUAUCACGUUCGCUGUGAUUGCAUCGUUUCAGGGUACACUGACAACAUACUAGCACUAGUAACUAGUCCUUGAUUAGCAGCAGUGGCCUGAAUUAUUGCCUGGCCGCUAUUCAUAUAAUCCUUUGGUGCUUACUCAUCGCCUUGUUCUGUCUCUAAAAUGGCGUAUGGGUGUUCUGAGGCUUGUAAUAUUUGCUCAAGCCGCGCAUUGGCAUUGGUGCAUGUCGGUAAAUGCCAGCCACUGCUGCCUAGCUCAACAUGUUUUGUAUGAUGUAGAAUGCGCUCUGUGUAUCUACAAUCGAGUGACCUGCUUGUGUGGGCUAACUGUAACUACACCAACAGUUGCACUAGUAUGUGCACUGUGCUGGCACAGUGUAUCAUACUCAGUCUUGUCACUUCUUCUCCCACUUUUACUGUAUUGUUUAAUUCACUGUACACAUCUUGCCCAGCUCCUCUAAGGCCACACAGAAUUAGUUUGUUGUUUUGGGCCGCUACACUCAGCUGGUGUAAGGUUGGUCUGCUUCUCUCUUCCUUCUCUUCGACGUGUCCAGCCAAUCAUUCAUGUCAAGCUUUGCAUAACUUAGAUCACUGUAUAUACAGUCACCUGGCUGGAAACGUCCAAGUCUGCAAAAUCCCAUCUUUCUUGAGGGACCCCAUUUUAUAGAGUGGACGACAUUCACUUUCCUGAUAGACUCACCUCAGAUGUUGGUACACUGUAUUGUACCCAUCCCUGAUUUGUACAUGCACCACUUUUUUGGCAACUCCGAACAGUGAGAAUGUCUGCUGUGGAUAGUUCUCAUGCUUUAAACUCAUUCGUAAACAAGUACGGUAUAAUACCACCAAAAUGUAGUUCAUUACAAGUCGUCGAUUAUGA